AAGCCAAUUUGGGAGCAGAUUGGACCCAGCUUCAUUCAACAUUACUACCAGUUAUUUGAUUACAAUACAACCCAAGUAGGUGCAAUUUACAUUGACAUGUCACGCCUUACAUGGGAAGGACAGCUGUUCCAGGAGAAAACUAGCCUUCCCUUCUGUUCCAGAAAAUCCAGCACAGCAUCAUGGUGCAAGGUCAUCAGCAACAGGCCUAUACCAGAUAGCUGCAUCCUCAGCAUGGUUGUAGGCCAACUUAAGGCAGAUGAAGACUCCAUCAUAGGGUUCCACCAGAUGUUCCUAUUAAAGAACAUCAAGAAGGUGUGGGUUCGCACCAAUGACAUGUUCAGGCUUGCCCUGCGCAACAAGGGC
rnacentral:lncRNA from 1 species